GCACUGUUGAAGAGUCCCACAAUGGGACGAAACGGAUGUCCAGUGC
rnacentral:hammerhead_ribozyme from 1 species